rnacentral:rRNA from 1 species
GCUUGGUUGGUGAGGUUAUGGCUUACCAAGGCGACGACGGGUAGCCGGCCUGAGAGGGUGACCGCACACACUGGAACUGAGAUACGGCAGAUCCUACGAGCAGCAGUGGGGAAUAUGGCACAUGGCGCAGCCUGAUGCAGCGACGCCGCUGAGGGAUGACGCUCGGUGUAACUCUUUCAGCAGGGACGAGCGCAGUGACGGUACCUGUAGAAGAAGGACCGGCCAACUACGUGCCAGCAGCGCGGUAAUACGUAGGGUCCGAGCGUGUCCGGAAUUACUGGGCGUAAAGAGCUCGUAGGUGGUUUGUCGCGUUGUUCGCGAAAACUCACAGCUCAACUGUGGGCGUGCGGGCGAUACGGGCAGACUUGAGUACUGCAGGGGAGACUGGAAUUCCUGGUGUAGCGGUGGAAUGCGCAGAUAUCAGGAGGAACACCGGUGGCGAAGGCGGGUCUCUGGGCAGUAACUGACGCUGAGGAGCGAAAGCGUGGGGAGCGAACAGGAUUAGAUACCCUGGUAGUCCACGCCGUAAACGGUGGGUACUAGGUGUGGGUUUCCUUCCUUGGGAUCCGUGCCGUAGCUAACGCAUUAAGUACCCCGCCUGGGGAGUACGGCCGCAAGGCUAAAACUCAAAGAAGUUGACGGGGGCCCGCACAAGCGGCGGAGCAUGUGGAUUAAUUCGAUGCAACGCGAAGAACCUUACCUGGGUUUGACAUGCACAGGACGCCGGCAGAGACGUCGGUUCCCUUGUGGCCUGUGUGCAGGUGGUGCAUGGCUGUCGUCAGCUCGUGUCGUGAGAUGUUGGGUUAAGUCCCGCAACGAGCGCAACCCUUAUCUUAUGUUGCCAGCGCGUAAUGGCGGGGACUCGUGAGAGACUGCCGGGGUCAACUCGGAGGAAGGUGGGGAUGACGUCAAGUCAUCAUGCCCCUUAUGUCCAGGGCUUCACACAUGCUACAAUGGCCGGUACAAGGGCUGCGAUGCCGUGAGGUGAGCGAAUCCUUUCAAGCCGGUCUCAGUUCGGAUCGGGGUCUGCAACUCGACCCGUGAAGUCGAGUCGCUAGUAUCGCAGAUCAGCACGCUGCGUGAUACGUCCCGGGCCUUGUACACACGACGUCACGUCAUGAAGUCGGUAAACCGAAGCCGGUGGCUACCCUUGGGGGGACGUCGAAGUGAAUCGGCAAUUGGGACGAAGUCGUAACAAAGUAACC